AACCAAGUGCCAAAUUUGAGCCUCAAACCUAAUUAGCAGGACCUAGGACUGUUUUUUUUUCAGUCAUCUGGACCUCCAAAGUGCUGCAGUUGGUUGGUUUGUUCUGAUCCUGGAUUCUGCAUAUUAACUCUGAGGACAUCAUGAGCAAGUGUAUGAAUGUGCGGAGUCAUCCGGGAAGAGGGAACCUCAGCUGAGGAAAUGCCCCUCCCCCCCACCAGGUUGGCUUAUAGGUAAGUCUGCGGGCAUUUUCUUGAUUGAUGAUUGGUGUGGGAGGGCCCAGCCCACUGUGGAUGCAAUG
rnacentral:lncRNA from 1 species